rnacentral:rRNA from 1 species
GAUGAACGCUGGCGGCGUGCUUAACACAUGCAAGUCGAACGAUUAACCCUACUUCGGAAGGUCAUAAAGUGGCGAACGGGUGAGUAACGCGUGACCAACCUGCCUCUCACAUUGGGAUAACUUAGAGAAAUCUAAGCUAAUACCAAAUACUCUUGAUCUUUCGCAUGACGGAUCAAGGAAAGCUUUCGCGGUGAGAGAUGGGGUCGCGGCCCAUUGGGUAGUUGGUGGGGUAGAGGCCUACCAAGCCGAUGAUGGGUAGCCGGGUUGAGAGACCGACCGGCCACAUUGGGACUGAGAUACGGCCCAGACUCCUACGGGAGGCAGCAGUGGGGAAUUUUGCGCAAUGGGCGAAAGCCUGACGCAGCAACGCCGCGUGCGGGAUGACGGCCUUCGGGUUGUAAACCGCUUUCAGUGGGAAAGAUAAUGACGGUACCCACACAAGAAGCUCCGGCUAAAUACGUGCCAGCAGCCGCCGUAAUAC